UGCUCACUUUGGCAGCAUUACACUGAAGUCAGAAUGAUCCAGAGAGGAUUAGCAGGGCCCCUGUGCAGAGAUAACUAAUCUGUGAAGACUUCCAAGGUUCU
rnacentral:snRNA from 1 species